ensembl:rRNA 5S_rRNA 5S ribosomal RNA
GUCUACGGCCAUGCCACCCUGAACGCACCCGAUUUCGUCUGAUCUCGGAAGUUAAGCAGGGUUGGGCCUGGUUAGUACCUGGAUGGGACAGGGUUGACUACCUCGGGGGAGUGUGAAACAGGGAGGUAUUAGUGA